rnacentral:rRNA from 1 species
GACGAACGCUGGCGGCGUGCCUAAUACAUGCAAGUAGAACGCUGAAGAGAGGAGCUUGCUCUUCUUGGAUGAGUUGCGAACGGGUGAGUAACGCGUAGGUAACCUGCCUUGUAGCGGGGGAUAACUAUUGGAAACGAUAGCUAAUACCGCAUAACAAUGGAUGACACAUGUCAUUUAUUUGAAAGGGGCAAUUGCUCCACUACAAGAUGGACCUGCGUUGUAUUAGCUAGUAGGUGAGGUAACGGCUCACCUAGGCGACGAUACAUAGCCGACCUGAGAGGGUGAUCGGCCACACUGGGACUGAGACACGGCCCAGACUCCUACGGGAGGCAGCAGGAGGGAAUCUUCGGCAAUGGGGGCAACCCUGACCGAGCAACGCCGCGGGGGUGAAGAAGGUUUUCGGAUCGUAAAGCUCUGUUGUAAGUCAAGAACGAGUGUGAGAGUGGAAAGUUCACACUGUGACGGUAGCUUACCAGAAAGGGACGGCUAACUACGUG